CGCCAUCGCGAGUGCGUGAGUCCCUGUCAGAAAUUUGUUGCGCCGCCCUUGGGCGCAAAAAACGGUGAAACCUCACGUACAAAACCAUAGGGCAGCAUACGAUGCGAUCGCGCGACCCUGCCCGUUAGCAAUCUCCCAACUCAUCUCUGGCGUUAGUGACUAGAAUGAUGUCUUUCCAUUCUGUGCUGUGAAUUGAGUCAUGAGUAUCAUCUAUUGAUUCGAUGACAUCCGUUUCAGGACUAGCAAGUGAGAAGAGAUAUUUAUAAUGUCCCAGAAGUGGUUUCCAGAGAUGUCGAAUGGAUUGCGUAACCCUAAUGUCAAAUGUGGCUACGUCGGAGGACUUCGACUCUUCAACUAAUUGGACUUCGCAUGGAGAAUUGUAAGACGCCUUGUAGAGUGGGUAAUUCUCUUUAAAAAUGUCUAGCGGUGUUGGAAAUUCUAUCGAUGGGUUAUUUUCUGCAAUUUCUCUAACAGUUUUCAAGAAAUGAGCCAUAGUAAAUAAAUAAGGGUGGAUUAGACCUCGUUUGGCAAAUAAUAUUCCAUCGAUCCGGCUUGAGAGCAAGUCCAAGUGGGAGCUGAAUGUACAGUUGUCUGGAGGAAGCCUGCAUUUAGCCCUGGCUCUGGCCCUGGAAUUUUGGAGCCUUUCCUUGGCAUCUUGGAUUUCGGGAAGAUCGACGUAAUGCAGAAUUUGGCAGAUUCCCAUAGUGAAUGUCUAUAAUUUGAAAGGGUCCGGUGUACUCGUCGUCGAGCUUAGAUUUUCGGUUCCCUUUUAAAAGGUUAUGAGAUGCGUGGUCACCCAAUUCUUGCAAGGAGAGCGCUGGUAAAAUUGGUGCCUUGGUCGGUCAGUGUCGCCUUUGGACCCCAGGUCCUGACUGGCCACGGCGCCUUCAAAAAGAGGCUUCAUUUCCAUGCCCUCGUCGACUCCGACAGAUGCGAAUGUGGUGCGCUGGGCACUCCUGAGCACCUCCUCUUUGAGUGUCCCGAGCAUCGGGAGCUUAGAGAUGUCUUUAGGGAGGACUUGGGGCGCCUUGGCCUCCAAUGGCCCCCUCCGCUGAGGGCCCUCGUAAGUGAGGAAACAUUCGACAGCCUGGAAAGAUAUCGGAUGCGGUUGGCGGACGUCGGCCAAAGAAGGUGGUCAAACAGGUGAAAACAGGAGACUCGCAGCACCAAAUGGAUCCAGGGAAAAGUUGUAAAUGGCGGCUGCUGUCCUUGGGUGUUGAAGAUGUGGAGAAAUUCAGGGGUCCCACCGCUGUCACCAAGAAUCUUGUAACGUCCCGAGCGGCAGGAACGUUUAAGUCGUGGGAAUUCCGCCGAUAAAGGUGGAAAACCCCCUUUCUCACGUCUUCGGGUCGCGUCGAAUGUUAUUUUAGAGUCACUUAAGAGUUUUGAUAUUGAAUUAAUAUUGUCGCACAAGUCUUUAGAGUUCGUAGUAAAUGGACACAAUGUCGGAACUGUUCACUA